rnacentral:rRNA from 1 species
GAUGAACGCUGACAGAAUGCUUAACACAUGCAAGUCUACUUGAACUUCGGUUUGGGUGGCGGACGGGUGAGUAACGCGUAAAGAACUUGCCUCACAGUUAGGGACAACAUUUGGAAACGAAUGCUAAUACCUGAUAUUAUGAUUUUAGGGCAUCCUAGGAUUAUGAAAGCUAUAUGUGCUGUGAGAGAGCUUUGCGUCCCAUUAGCUAGUUGGAGAGGUAACGGCUCACCAAGGCGAUGAUGGGUAGCCGGCCUGAGAGGGUGAACGGCCACAAGGGGACGGAGACACGCCCCUUACUCCUCCGGGAGGCAGCAGUGGGGAUUAUUGGACAUUGGACCAAACGUCUGAUCCAGCAAUUCUGUGUGCACGAUGACGUUUCUCGGAAUGUAAAGUGCUUUCAGUUGGGAAGAAAAAAAUGACGGUACCAACAGAAGAAGCGACGGCUAACUACGUG